rnacentral:rRNA from 1 species
GUGGGGAAUAUUGGACAAUGGGCGAAAGCCUGAUCCAGCCAUGCCGCGUGUGUGAAGAAGGUCUUCGGAUUGUAAAGCACUUUAAGUUGGGAGGAAGGGCAGUAAGUUAAUACCUUGCUGUUUUGACGUUACCGACAGAAUAAGCACCGGCUAACUUCGUGCCAGCAGCCGCGGUAAUACGAAGGGUGCAAGCGUUAAUCGGAAUUACUGGGCGUAAAGCGCGCGUAGGUGGUUUUGUAAGUUGGAUGGGAAAUCCCCGGGCUCAACCUGGGAACUGCCUCCAAAACUGCAUGACUAGAGUACGGUAGAGGGUAGUGGAAUUUCCUGUGUAGCGGUGAAAUGCGUAGAUAUAGGAAGGAACACCAGUGGCGAAGGCGACUACCUGGACUGAUACUGACACUGAGGUGCGAAAGCGUGGGGAGCAAACAGGAUUAGAAACCCCAGUAGUCC